UCCUCUGCAGCAAUGCGAUUUGACCAGCGUCUUUGUUGACCUGGUUUAAACAGAGCUAGAGGAUGGUCAGUUUGGACUAGUCCGAGUGCUAAGCAUUCUUGGGUCUAGGACAGAUUGCUCAUUAAUCUAUCUUUUUA
rnacentral:misc_RNA from 1 species